ACGCUAGCUACAGGCUUAACACAUGCAAGUCGAGGGGCAUCAGGAAGAAAGCUUGCUUUCUUUGCUGGCGACCGGCGCACGGGUGAGUAACACGUAUCCAACCUGCCCUUUACUCGGGGAUAGCCUUUCGAAAGAAAGAUUAAUACCCGAUAGCAUAAUGAUUCCGCAUGGUUUCAUUAUUAAAGGAUUCCGGUAAAGGAUGGGGAUGCGUUCCAUUAGGUUGUUGGUGAGGUAACGGCCCACCAAGCCUUCGAUGGAUAGGGGUUCUGAGAGGAAGGUCCCCCACAUUGGAACUGAGACACGGUCCAAACUCCUACGGGAGGCAGCAGUGAGGAAUAUUGGUCAAUGGGCGCUAGCCUGAACCAGCCAAGUAGCGUGAAGGAUGAAGGCUCUAUGGGUCGUAAACUUCUUUUAUAUAAGAAUAAAGUGCAGUAUGUAUACUGUUUUGUAUGUAUUAUAUGAAUAAGGAUCGGCUAACUCCGUGCCAGCAGCCGCGGUAAUACGGAGGAUCCGAGCGUUAUCCGGAUUUAUUGGGUUUAAAGGGAGCGUAGGUGGACUGGUAAGUCAGUUGUGAAAGUUUGCGGCUCAACCGUAAAAUUGCAGUUGAUACUGUCAGUCUUGAGUACAGUAGAGGUGGGCGGAAUUCGUGGUGUAGCGGUGAAAUGCUUAGAUAUCACGAAGAACUCCGAUUGCGAAGGCAGCUCACUGGACUGCAACUGACACUGAUGCUCGAAAGUGUGGGUAUCAAACAGGAUUAGAUACCCUGGUAGUCCACACAGUAAACGAUGAAUACUCGCUGUUUGCGAUAUACAGUAAGCGGCCAAGCGAAAGCAUUAAGUAUUCCACCUGGGGAGUACGCCGGCAACGGUGAAACUCAAAGGAAUUGACGGGGGCCCGCACAAGCGGAGGAACAUGUGGUUUAAUUCGAUGAUACGCGAGGAACCUUACCCGGGCUUAAAUUGCAGUGGAAUGAUGUGGAAACAUGUCAGUGAGCAAUCACCGCUGUGAAGGUGCUGCAUGGUUGUCGUCAGCUCGUGCCGUGAGGUGUCGGCUUAAGUGCCAUAACGAGCGCAACCCUUAUCUUUAGUUACUAACAGGUUAUGCUGAGGACUCUAGAGAGACUGCCGUCGUAAGAUGUGAGGAAGGUGGGGAUGACGUCAAAUCAGCACGGCCCUUACGUCCGGGGCUACACACGUGUUACAAUGGGGGGUACAGAAGGCAGCUAGCGGGUGACCGUAUGCUAAUCCCAAAAUCCUCUCUCAGUUCGGAUCGAAGUCUGCAACCCGACUUCGUGAAGCUGGAUUCGCUAGUAAUCGCGCAUCAGCCACGGCGCGGUGAAUACGUUCCCGGGCCUUGUACACACCGCCCGUCAAGCCAUGGGAGCCGGGGGUACCUGAAGUACGUAACCGCAAGGAUCGUCCUAGGGUAAAACUGGUGAA
rnacentral:rRNA from 1 species